rnacentral:rRNA from 1 species
UGGGGAAUAUUGGACAAUGGGGGGAACCCUGAUCCAGCCAUGCCGCGUGUGUGAAGAAGGCCUUAUGGUUGUAAAGCACUUUAAGCGAGGAGGAGGGUACUGGUAUUAAUACUACCAGGUACUGGACGUUACUCGCAGAAUAAGCACCGGCUAACUCUGUGCCAGCAGCCGCGGUAAUACAGAGGGUGAGAGCGUUAAUCGGAUUUACUGGGCGUAAAGCGUGCGUAGGCGGCUAAUUGAGUCGGAUGUGAAAUCCCCGAGCUUAACUUGGGAAUUGCAUUCGAUACUGGUUAGCUAGAGUGUGGGAGAGGAUGGUAGAAUUCCAGGUGUAGCGGUGAAAUGCGUAGAGAUCUGGAGGAAUACCGAUGGCGAAGGCAGCCAUCUGGCCUAACACUGACGCUGAGGUACGAAAGCAUGGGGAGCAAACAGG